ACUACCUCACACGGAGCUAGCUAUUUUCUGAAGUCUUGUUUUGUCUGGGAUGGUAACUCUUGAAAUUCCUGUUCCUAUUCGGGCCUCAUUAUGCAAUCAAAUGGUAUUCUAUUUUUUUCAUCAGAUCAUUGCUUGCCUGGAUAAUAAUAUUUGACGCUGAAUCAAAAAAGGCACACACUGAGAUUGCCUUGAAGUUUCAGAAAAUCUAGUCGGAAGCUUAGUUUUAAAAUUUUGGUUUACAGAUAAACAACAUUAAUGUUGUACGUAAAAGGUAUUACAGAAUCUUGUGUAAGACACUAUUAGUCUUGUCUAGUGCUUCCACACUAUAGCUUUUGCUGAACCGAUUGUUUUCGUAUGCCAAUCUGUAUUGCAGGUAACCGUGAAGUCUAUUCAUGACCCUAAAGUUGGCGUCAUAUUUGAUGCACGGUCAUUGAUCCAAGCCCUAACCAUUCUCAUAUCUGAACAUAUGGAUAUGUGUGUAUCAAAAGUUCAGAACGUGGUCAUGUAACUGAAAAUGUAAAAGUUGUAAGCUGAUCUUUCAAGUACAAAAAUGAAUGUAAAGUCCCUCUUAACAAUUUAUUGUUUUACUAAUCGAUCCAUAGUGCGAAUACUCAUGUUUUUAUUUCAGCUAGCACUAGUGUUGCAAUUCUGCCUGACUUGACAUGAUUAAUGAAAAAUGAGACAUGUAUUUUUCAAUUUCUGU
rnacentral:lncRNA from 7 species